AGGCAUGCCUGCAAAACUGCUGUGUCCCAUUAAAAUUCACUCCAGAAAUUAAUCGUGCAGUUAUGUAGAGCUGCAACAACCCCAGAGCCCUUCGGUGGCAGUGGUUUCUAUUAAUGAGGGAUUUCAAAGAACCAGCCAGGUUGCUGUGGCUACAUGAAAAAAAAGGAUGUCUGGGCUCACACAGAAACAUGCAUGCACACAGAUAGAUGCCGACCUGCACGCAGGCACUCGCAGCCACAGCCACACAUCCUCACAGCAACAGAUGGACGGCCUUGAGGCAGAGCCUGGGAGACUUGUGUGAGGGGUAGAGCUGCCAAUUGAUUGCUAAGAUCAGGUGCGCGUCUACACAAAGGCACCUCCUGCUCUUUUCAAGUAUCAGGGUUUGCUAGCCUCAGGACAAAUGAAGACACAAAACAACAGUGGCAUCUGUGGCAGCAACAUGUGCCGGAGCUGUGAGAGCGGCUUGGUCGAGUUGCAGCCAUACAUCAGCAGUCAGCCAGUGCUGGAGCGGCGCCAGAGAGAGCAGAGCCGGAUGAAACGAUUUCAGCUUUUAUCUGCUGCUGAUCCAACCUGCAUGCAUAAAUUGGGCUGCCCACACUGCAUAAGGUCAAAGGUGGAUUAGAGCACACUGCAUCAGCUAAUGACCAUAUUACUGUUCUCGCAGUUGGUUGUGCACAUUUUCUGUUGUGCUUCCCAUAACCCCACAACAUAGUUAUAUUGUUUCGUUCUGCAAAAGGUCACCACUUACUUUAAAGUCAAAAAGUCAUCCCCUCUAAAUAUGGAUUUUUGCACAGAUACCCCCAGUGAAAAGUUUGAACUGACCCAGAGGAACUAAACUCAAACAGGCUUUUGAGCUAAAACAGUUUUUUGACUCAGAUUAACUUAGAUGACAAAGCAGAGUUAAGUUAGGGAAAGUUUGGCACCUACAUGUCAUUAGGGGAAGGUUAGGAAAAUUAGCUAUUAAAACAAACUGUCUGUUUAUUCUGUACAGCUGGGCAGUUUAACAUGGAAGUCUAUGGGGCUUGAGCCACUUUAUUAGGAGUAGAUUAUCAGUUCAUUCGCUGUCAAUGAACAACCUGUUUUAGCUCCCAUCCUCGCCGUUCAAACAAGCUUUCAUGCGAUUGGCUGCCCGUUGUAAACAGAAGGUGUAAACAGCAGGUGGGAGGGAUUUAUGUGCACAGAGUCAGAGCUGUGUGCCUCAAAUGACCAUAUUAUGGAUGCUGGCGCUCCGAGCUGAAGGUAAAAAUAUAUAUAUCUAUAUAUAUAUAUAUAGAUAUAUAUAUAAAACUGAGUUUUUACAGCAGUCUGAAUGGCUUUUGGCUCACAGAGGUGAGCUGUACAUGCAUUGACCUUAUCUAUAAUAUUUGUAACAGUGUAUAUUAAACAGAAAAUGAGGACGAGCAUAAUAUGUCCAGUUUAAUUUCUCAUUGGAAAAGUUGAAUAUUCUUUACAUCAGACUAAAUAAAUUCACAAAUACUAGUUCCAACAGUUAAGGACUCUUCGGAUAUUAAAAUCAAGUCUCUCCAGCAUUUACAUGACUCUGCUUGAGCACACCAACACAUUAGAUAUGAGCUGGUAAACUAUAAAUAUCAGAUGUUUUUGCACAAAAUAUUUUUGGCUCAUUUGAAGAUACCGUAUCUGUACUUGAAUGUACCUGAACAAUGUGUAAAAGGAACAAGAA